rnacentral:misc_RNA from 1 species
UGGCCUUGACAUGUCCGGAAUCCAGCAGAGAUGCAGGAGUGCCUUCGGGAAUCGGAACACAGGUGCUGCAUGGCUGUCGUCAGCUCGUGUCGUGAGAUGUUGGGUUAAGUCCCGCAACGAGCGCAACCCUUGUCCUUAGUUGCCAGCACGUAAUGGUGGGAACUCUAAGGAGACUGCCGGUGACAAACCGGAGGAAGGUGGGGAUGACGUAAGCCUAUCGAGA